ACUCUGACCAAUGAGAGGCAAGCGGAAGUGACGGUUAUUCCUCCUGCGCGGGAGCUUUGGGGACGCACUUCUGGAUGCCUAGGCCUCUUCCGUUUGCCUCUGGGACUGGCGAUACUCGAGAUGUCUUGAGGCCUUCCAGACCUUGCUCCACCUCCACCACCAGGUCUCCAGUCCUGAGCCACAUGCUGCCAUUUUUGUCUCAGAAGCACCCCUCUUCCAGGUGGAAGAUUGAAGGUCUGAAGAGUGGGAAGUCCCAGGAACAGGCAAUUCCAGGAAGAUAUGAGGAAAAUCAAGAAAGAGAAGGAAACUGAAGCUAGUGGGAAGUGCUUCAAGUUGGAGAUGAUGCUGAGAUGGCCAAAAAGUGAGAGGUGGAAAACAUUUGGAGUGAGUUAAGGAGAGAACGCGAGGCAAGGAAGUGAAGCUGAGUGAGUUGGGGAGUGGGGUGCAGGGGCCUUUGGCCACCCCAGGCUCUUUCUAUGUGAACAUUCUGAGACUGAUUCUGAUUUUUUUCCCCUCCCAAAUUGCUCUCUUUUCCUUUCUUCACCUACUUACUCCCUGGUCAUCCUUCCUUUGGGUCAGUGAAGUUGCUGAUUCUUUAGGGAACACUUCUCUGAUUGCUGAAGCUAAUAGUCUCUCCCUGCGGUUGCCGGUUGUUUCCAAUAGUUGACUAGUUUUCUUCCCCAGCACUUACGAGUACACAGCCAGUCACUCUGGUUGCUCACUGUCUUCCUUCUUCCUUGACUGUCAGCUCACAGGAAUGCAGGGCCCUUACUUGUUUUACUCACCACUGCAUCCCAAGGAUAUAGCAGAGUGCCUGGCACACGGUAGGUGCUGAAUAAAUAUUCGUUAAAUGAUUGAUUGGAGGAAAAAACCACCAUCCUCCAUGGUAAACCUUUACUUUACUUUUGCAUACUUCUAAAAGUAUAAUCUAGAGGUUCAGUGACUCCCGCAAAUAAACAGAAAAGGGCACAGAGGGUGGCGAUAGGGCCACUGAUAACAGGAGCUGGAAGUAGAAGACAUCUUUUUUCCGAAGUUGAAGACUUGUACUUCCAUAACCUUGGCAGAUUAGGAAAUGUCAAUUACCCUCCAAUCCAACCUCCUAUAUAGAGCCACACACUGGUUUCCUAGCCUUUUAUGUAUUGAAAAGAUGUUAUCCUAUAAAUUUUCUUCUUUUCCAAUGUGUUCUAUAAAUAUCCACUAAAAUACUUUAAUUGCAAGAAAGUUAGAUAUUUGAGGUUAUAUCCAUGUUUCAUUUCUGUGGAAAACAACACAGAAAAUGUUACCCAAGUAUAACUGGGCACCAUGGCUCCAAUAUUUUCUCAUUAUCAGCUCAAAUAAACACAACUUAGAAUAAAAAAGUCAUGUAAAGCAAUUCAAAUAUUUCACUUCAUCUGUCAAGGAAAUAUCAGGAGGGUGGUUGGGAGUACAUUCUUGAUGCACAGCAGGAAUCUUUUACACUUCUUUCUCCCCAUUUCUGCCCCUCUCGGUAUCCUCCACAGGGAGAGCAGCUGCUCCCUGAAACUCUCACUCUCUCUGCAUUUUUCCUUUCCAGUGCCUCAAAACUGCACACCACCUGGUACUUGGCAGUGCAGCACUUUGCUCAGGGGGAUGGGUCUCCAUCUCUCUGCCGUCCUGUUUUUCUUUUUUCCCGUCAAUUAUUCUUUGCCUUUUCCAUAGAUCAAGAAGAAGGUGAUGUGUACUCAUGUACAUUAAAAACUCCUGUCUCCAUUGCCUA
rnacentral:lncRNA from 1 species